CCCAUGGUGGCGCAAAGGUUAAGCACUUGGUUGCUAACUGAAAGAUUGGUGGUUCGAACCCACCCAAUGGCU
rnacentral:tRNA from 1 species